GACGUAGGGCGCGAGCGUUGUCCGGAAUUAUUGGGCGUAAAGAGCUCGUAGGCGGCUUGUUGCGUCGGCUGUGAAAACCCGCGGCUUAACCGUGGGCUUGCAGCCGAUACGGGCGGGCUAGAGUUCGGUAGGGGAGACUGGAAUUCCUGGUGUAGCGGUGAAAUGCGCAGAUAUCAGGAGGAACACCGAUGGCGAAGGCAGGUCUCUGGGCCACUACUGACGCUGAGAAGCGAAAGCAUGGGGAGCGAACAGG
rnacentral:rRNA from 1 species